rnacentral:rRNA from 1 species
GGCGGUAUGCUUAACACAUGCAAGUCGAACGGUAGCAUGAUNAGUAGCAAUACUAAUUGAUGACGAGUGGCGGACGGGUGAGUAACACGUAGGAAUCUACCCUAUAGCGGGGGACAACCGGCGGAAACGCCGGCUAAUACCGCAUAAUCUCGCAAGAGUAAAGCUGGGGCAACCUGGCACUAUAGGAGGAGCCUGCGUCUGAUUAGCUAGUUGGCGGGGUAAAAGCCCACCAAGGCGACGAUCAGUAGCUGGUCUGAGAGGAUGAUCAGCCACACUGGGACUGAGACACGGCCCAGACUCCUACGGGAGGCAGCAGUGGGGAAUAUUGGACAAUGGGGGCAACCCUGAUCCAGCAAUACCGCGUGUGUGAAGAAGGCCUUCGGGUUGUAAAGCACUUUAGGCGGGGAAGAAGAUUACCAUUUUAAGAGAUAGGUAAUUUGACGGUACCCGCAGAAUAAGCACCGGCUAACUCUGUGCCAGCAGCCGCGGUAAUACAGAGGGUGCAAGCGUUAAUCGGAAUUACUGGGCGUAAAGGGCGCGUAGGUGGUUGCGUAAGU